CAGUCGAGCGCCCCGCAAGGGGAGCGGCAGACGGGUGAGUAACGCGUGGGAAUCUACCCUUUACUACGGAAUAACGCAGGGAAACUUGUGCUAAUACCGUAUGUGUCCUUCGGGAGAAAGAUUUAUCGGUAAAGGAUGAGCCCGCGUUGGAUUAGCUAGUUGGUGGGGUAAAGGCCUACCAAGGCGACGAUCCAUAGCUGGUCUGAGAGGAUGAUCAGCCACAUUGGGACUGAGACACGGCCCAAACUCCUACGGGAGGCAGCAGUGGGGAAUAUUGGACAAUGGGCGCAAGCCUGAUCCAGCCAUGCCGCGUGAGUGAUGAAGGCCCUAGGGUUGUAAAGCUCUUUCACCGGAGAAGAUAAUGACGGUAUCCGGAGAAGAAGCCCCGGCUAACUUCGUGCCAGCAGCCGCGGUAAUACGAAGGGGGCUAGCGUUGUUCGGAAUUACUGGGCGUAAAGCGCACGUAGGCGGAUCGAUCAGUCAGGGGUGAAAUCCCAGGGCUCAACCCUGGAACUGCCUUUGAUACUGUCGAUCUGGAGUGUGGAAGAGGUGAGUGGAAUUCCGAGUGUAGAGGUGAAAUUCGUAGAUAUUCGGAGGAACACCAGUGGCGAAGGCGGCUCACUGGUCCAUUACUGACGCUGAGGUGCGAAAGCGUGGGGGAGCAAACAGGAUUAGAUACCCUGGUAGUCCACGCCGUAAACGAUGAAUGUUAGCCGUCGGGGCAGUAUACUGUUCGGUGGCGCAGCUAACGCAUUAAACA
rnacentral:rRNA from 1 species